AUCUUUUUCCAGUUUACAAGCAUGAUGGUAGUGUGUUCAUAUAUCUGUGUGACGUGUUCCUCCCUUCAGUCUUGUUAUAACGUUGGUGUAUUAUCUCUCUAAAG